CCUACGGGGGUCUGCAGUGGGGAAUAUUGCACAUUGGGGGAAACCCUGAUGCAGCGACGCCGCGUUAGUGCCGACGUAUUUAGGUAUGUAAAGCUCUAUCUGCCGGGACGAAAAUGACGGUACCUUACUCAGAAGCACCGGCUAACUACGUGCCAGCAGCCGAGGUACUACGUCGGGGGCAGGCGUUAUCCGGAGUUACUGGGUAUAAAGGGAGCGUAGACGGCCAGACAAGUCAGAAGUGAAAGGCCAGGGCGCAACCCUCGGACAGCUGUGGAAACUGCCGGGCUGGAGUGGAAGAGAGGUAAGCGGAAUGCCUAGUGGAGCGGUGAAAUGCGUAGAUAUUGGGAGGAACACCAGUUGCGAAGGCGGCUUACUGGACUGUAACUGACGUGGAGGCUCGAAAGCGUGGGGAGCAAACAGGAUUAGAUACCCGAGUAGUC
rnacentral:rRNA from 1 species